AGAAAAAGUAACGCUCCCGUUCACUCAUAAGCUUGGUACAAAAACGUCUUGCAGUUGCUUUUGAAGCUUCACUCUGCUUUCUGUAUCCAGGGCAGUCUGUGGUCACGCGCAGCUUCAUGACAUGCAGGCAGUAGCCAGACAGGGUCAUGGGAAGGGGGCCCUGUGCUUCUAAACCGAGUGGUUGCUGGUUAGUUUGGUAUUCAAAAGAGGAUAAAAAUCUGGUAGAUUAGUUCAUUCUCAGCAUGUGUAGCUAGACAUGAGUAAAGAUAACAGCAUGAGAAACUGUUAGUACGCAUACCUCAGUUCAACCUUUAGGGAAUGAUUAAAAUUUUUUAAAAAAAUACAUUUCACUCAGUUGCACUUAGUCGUAUGUCUUGCAUGCUUAGUCUAAAGACUGUAGCAAAAAAAAAAAAAAAAAAAAGAAAAAAGAAAAUUAGAUUUUACACAUCUUUGCAGGCAUCACAGUCCUGCAGAAGAACCAACUGAAAAAAAAAAAAAUUCUCAGGCUUUACAGCAAGAAAACUUCACUAUGAUUUUUACAAUUCUGAUUCUGUAUCCCUUGGGGGUAUUCAAGUUGCUUCUUUAGGAUGGGGUUUAUUAUGUUGUACAUAUAUCCCAAUGUGUCUGUGUGAAUCUUUGUCUUUUUUGGGGGUGGGCAGAGGGCGGUUCUUUUUUUAGAUAUUGUUCCUAAAAAGGAAUAAAUGCAUACACCUGUUUGUCAAAACACCUUUGCUUUUUGUGCAACUGCUUUAUAUUAACAAUACUAAAAGAUAUCUUUGGAAAAAAACUACUGUAUGUAAUGGAAUUGCAGAAUAUGCUGCACAUGUAUUUUAUUUAGUUAUUCUUGCUUUAAGAAUAUUGGAUGACAUUUCCUGACAUGUGGAGGGAGAAACUCCCUAACUUUUUUUUCUUUUAAAUUGUAACAUAGUUGACAGAUUUUUUUUGUCCUGUUCUCAUUGGAGCAUUUUGUACAGGUUUGUGUGUGCGUGCGCACGUGUGAGUGGGUAUGUGUCUAAUCUGUCUUUUUUUAUACAUUCCUAUCCCUUGUGUUUAUCCUACCACUGCCUUCCUGGCUAUCUUUAAACAAGUUCAUACAUCUGAAAAGAGAAAAAAAUGUUAAAAAAAUGUUUUCUUCUGCUGCAGUAAAUAUUUUGCAUGAUGAAAUUUCAGGAUCACACUUUCAAAGUUUAUCAGUGAAGUAGUGGUUAAUAAUGGGGAGUGUUGAAAAUAUUGAACAUUUGUAUAAAAAAAAAACUUGCAAGGUGCCAAGAUGUAAAGACAAUGUUACUUUUUUUGUCCUCAGAGAAAAGUGUAUGUUAAGGAGAAAGUCCCCUGUAUGAGACUAAUGCACUGUCAGGAAUGAGGAUCCAUCCUGCUUGUCCCUAAAAAUCUGUCUAUAGAAAACCAGUCAGGCUACCACAUUAGCAAUGCAGAGAACUAUCAAGGCUUCCUUGAAGAGUGACCGCCAGUCCUGCCCCCCAAACAGCUCUAAUGUAUACCUAGCAUCCUGCAUUCCAUCAGACCUGUCCAGCCAAGUUCUGUUUCCAAGGGUACAAAGCUGAAUCUACUUACAAGGAUUUUGAAUCUUUUGGGUACCGUCUGGUUAAUAGCAAACCCUUCUGAUACGUCAGAUGUUUUUCAACCCAUUUUGGCACCUGUGUUCUGAGAAUGAGAUUUAUAAUCCUAAAGGCGUUUCAUGGGCCCAGCAUAGCCCAUGCAAUCUCUGUUCCCCCUAAACCUUGAUGGAGAUGGCGAAGUCUGGACCGUCAGCAUGGUGCUUCGUGUAUAUGUGCUGCCAAUAACAAGAACUGUUUUGGGGGUUUUUUUGUUUUGUUUUGUUUUGUUUUGUUAAGGCAUAAAAGAAACUCAUUCCUUGACAUCAACUGUAAUUCCAUCAUUCCAUGUCUGUGGAUACAGACAAUAAAAAAAAUGUGGUGUAGUCAGUAGUAAUUACUGACAUUAUAGCAUUCUCAAAUGCAAUAAAAAUGCUGGUUGUUCACACUGGUA